CCUACGGGAGGCAGCAGUGAGGAAUAUUGGUCAAUGGGCGCGAGCCUGAACCAGCCAAGUCGCGUGAAGGAUGACUGCCCUACGGGUUGUAAACUUCUUUUAUAAUGGAAUAAUGUGAUGCACGUGUGCCUUUUUGUAUGUUCUCUAUGAAUAAGGAACGGCGUACCUCAUGACCACAGACGAGGCAAGUCGGUGGAAUCGUAGGUUAGUCGGUUUUAAUUGGUUUAAAGGGAGUGUAGGUGGAUUGUUAAGUCAGUUGUGAAAGUUUGCGGCUCAACCGUAAAAUUGCAGUUGAAACUGGCAGUCUUGAGUACAGUAGAGGUGGGCGGAAUUCGUGGUGUAGCGGUGAAAUGCUUAGAUAUCACGAAGAACUCCGAUUGCGAAGGCAGUUCACUGGACUGCAACUGACACUGAGGCUCGAAAGUGUGGGUAUCAAACAGGAUUAGAUACCCCGGUAGUC
rnacentral:rRNA from 1 species